UUUUUUUUUUUUUUUUUUUUUUUUUAAAGCAUACUUAAUAAGGACCUGAACUUUAAAGUGCUCUCUGUGGCAUUGCAUAUCUUCAAGAAAUCAUGGCUAAGUGGUUUCACUCUACAUAUCAUCUGGCCUUUCCAGAGGAAAAUAAGGACCCGUAGGACUUCUUAGAUUAAAUAUCUUUUGAAGAGGUGGGCAUAAAAAACAUCUUUUCCUUUACUUUUUCCUCUUCUCUUCAUCAUUCUCUAAAUUUCACUUUCUUCUUAUUGGGCUACAUCUUGCUAUUUUCUUAAUCAUUUAUUCUUUCCAAGACUCCCAAAUGAUAAGAAAUGCCUUAUUCUAACAACGUGACCAAGUUCAGCUUUCAGGUGAUGAUUUCUUUAUUGAAUUACUCAAUCAAGGUGUGUUGUUCAAAGUGCCAUGGGGAUCUCAGAUAGGGUAUUACAUAUUCCCAGCUAUUAAGAAGUGUAUAGUUUAAUUGAAGAGAGAUAACCAAUAUGCUCACAUGCACAAAGACAACCAGUUUUAUCCUGAAGUGACUAGUAGUGACUUUUAAAAACAGCAUAAUGACUAAAAUGGAGAAAACAGUGUGAAUUAAUGUACUCAUAGAAAACUCAGGACUUGAGCUGAAUUUUUGAAAAUGAACAGGAUUUAUAUGGUUGGACUGGAGAAAGUAGGGGAGAAGAAUGUGAACAAAGGUGCUUGAGUUGAAAUGAACAUGUAAUAUAUGAUCAAAAUUGUUAAGCUGGGAUGGAUGAGAGUUGGAGAAUAGAGAGAAAUUGGGCUGUAAAGACUGUAGAGGUUAGAUUAUGCUGGGUCAGGAAAAGCAGAUAAGAGGAUAUAAUGGAUAUGAAUGGCAGUAACAAGACGUUAUGAGUUCUUAGACACGUAGUGUUUUAAGAAGGUUGUCUGGAACUGAUUUUGGGUAGCAGGGCAUUAUAACUCUUAGCAAGGGGGGGCCUGCCCCAAGUUUCAGAGGAUCUCAAUACUUGGGAAUGUCUUUCACAAAUUUUUCUUAUUUCUCUUUGGGUACCAGAACCAGCUAGAGUUGGCAGUCCUCUUUAGUAGGUUCCCCUGAGCCCAGACCAGAGCACUACAAAUCUGGUACUUAAAUGAUUUAUAAGUAUAGAAUAAGAAAACCCAUAGCAGGAAAACAUAGAAUAGUGGUUUCUAUAGGAUGAGGGAAGUGGGAAAUGGGGAGUUUUAGUUCAAUGGAUAUAAAGUUACAGUUUACAAGAUGAGUAAAUUCUAGAGAUCUGCUAUACAACAAUGCUUAUAGUUAACAAUAUGUAUGCGCACUUACAAACUUAAGCAGGUAGACCUCAUGUCCAGUGCUCUUAACACACACACACACACACACAGUAAGGGGACCCAAGGAAUCUUUUGGAGGUGAUGGAUAUGUUUAAUUCCUUCAUUGAGGGGGUGGCUUUACCUCAAGCAGUUACUCCAUGCCGUUGAACUUCCUUGAUUAUGGUAAUUGUGUCAUAGGUAUAUGCAUAUGUCCAAAAUAUAUGUUAAUAUAUGCAGUUUUUGUAUGUUAAUCAUGUUAUAGGCUUCGAGUCCCCUUCAAGGAGAUUAAACCCAAAGCCUCUAGCCAAGACAAGAAUAACCAAACUCUUAUCAUCGUCUUACCUGUCUCAUUGUAAUAUCUCCCCCCCACCCCAGCAUCCUGGCCUGCUCCUUCCUACUUCCCACCAGGAAAAGCAUGUGGACUCCUCUCCCUGCCUCUAUAACACCUGUUCCCCUUGCAGAUGAGGUAUCCUGCCCAAAACCAUUCAGAAGAUCAAACGUAUACAAAGACCAAUCAACACUCCCAUGCAAAGAUCCCCAUACAAAGACCAAUCAACACUCAGCCUUUAUGAAUGGAAUGCAGAGUGGGCCGGGGCAGGAAGAAUCAGUGGGCUGGGGUGGGAAUGAUCAGGUCCCCACUCAGGUCUGUAGCAUGGGGAUAUAAGAACAAUUGUAAAGUGAGGAGGACUCUCUUUUUUUUUUACUCAUGGGUCAGCCUGCACACUCUCUUUCUCUGAAAACGUACUUCUGCUUUAAUCAGUUCGUAAUGCACCGCCAUUUCUGUACUUUGCUGCAGCAGGUCGGGACUAAGGAAAUAAUGCAAUUUUAUCAUUCUGUUGCAAAUUCUAUCAAGCAUACCUCAAUAAAACUGAAAAAAAAAGUGAUCACAUUCUAACAAUACGGUGUUAUAGCCUCCCCAAAUCAGGAGAACACAUGGUAGGAAGAGGUAUUAUUUUAUGUUAAUGCUAUAAAAUCCUGAAUGGUAAAUUAACAGCACCAGGAAAUAAUUAGCAUUUAUAUUUUCCUGCAUGUUCCGGGUAAGACUUACAUUCAUGAACAUCAUCAAUGAUGCAUAGUCAUAACCUGUGAGAGUCACUGGAAGCCAGUGUUCCCAGGAGGCACCAUGAAUGAUGGAGCAUCUUGAGUAGUGGUAUAACCAGCACUAAACAAAUGCUAUUAGGGUGGUCAGAGGCAGGAAAGUCUAUAUUGGUCAACACAAACAAGUUUUAAAGAACAGUGGUAUUUAUAGCAGUAACAGCAUUGCCGUCUUUUUCUCAUGGUGUGAGAUAUAAAAUUAGCCAGGAAAAUAAAGAACCUGAAAAGUUAUUUCUUGGACUUGAAUGGGAGGAAAAGGUACUUGGACACUAAAGAAUCUUCAUCUGCACUGAUCAUAAAUGAAAAAAAAUAUAUAUAUUUUAUAUAUAUAUGUAUAUGUGUGUGUUUCUUCUCUAUACAUUAUUCUAAGUCAUCACUGAUAAACCAUUAUACCUCACAUGGCCAUGAAUUCUACAGUACAUUUUUAAAUCAACAGAUUUACAUAGACUGGGAUCCUACAGAAAGUAUUUGCCUAGGAUUCUGCACACUCUGGUGUGUGCAGUCAGUGGAAAGUGUGAAAAACUAUAGAAUAGAGGAUUGGUUAGAACGUGAUUGCAGUGAUUUAGGACAGAAGUGAAGCCAGGCUAGGCUAGGGUGAGGAAUAUCAGAUGAAGAGAAAGGGGGUAAAACUGAAAAAUAUUUUAGGAAACAAUAAGUAAAGCCUGAGAGUAGAUUGACAAAGAUUAAACAGUGGCUAAAUCAAAGAGUACUUCAAGGUAUCUAUGCUUAAAGACUAGAAAAAUGUGCUAAGAUAGAAAUACCAACUCACAGUAGACAAGAAAGAUCAGUUUGGGAUGUAGAUAUGUGUUGGGAUAUGUGACAAGUUCCCAGUUAAAAGGAUCCUUCUACAGAGUAAAUGUCAGUUAUGAAACUUUCAAAAAUUCCAAGAAAAAUAUUUGUGUCUUUUUUCACAUGUGACAAGAUAUUGGAAUCCACCUUGUGGCAACAUUUUCAUUUAUGGCCUCAGAAGUUGUGAGUUUAAAGUUCAGUUCUUCCCAUUGGGAAAAGUAUGUAACAUUUCUGAACCGUGGUUUUAUUCUACAAAAAUGGGGUAAAUGAUGUUUCCUUUAUAGUGCUAUUUUGGGCCUGAAAAGUGAUAACAAACAAGGAAGUGCCUAGUAGAAUGUCCAGCAGAGUCAGACUCAGUAAAUGUUGGCCCAAGUGAAAUGAAAUAAAAUCUACAAAGGCUGAACUGCAUUGUAGUCCUACCCAUCAGAUAAGCCCAUCCUUGUUUCACAUUGGCUCAGCUCUCACAGUGCUCCCUUAGGUCUGGUGCUCAGGUCUAGGACCAUUACCUAUGAGAGUCUAGGAUGAAACUUUUUCUUAACUGGAGAGAGAAAUCAAAGGUGUGAACCCCUCCAGGAAAACCGGCUUAGCCCUCUAUAAUAUACCUCCUGCACUUUAGAAGUCCCCUUCCAAUACUGCUUGAGAUGCAGUUCCCAAAAAUACCUCAUUUCUGUUAUAUGGUGAGGUGAUGUCUUCUUGAAAAUAUAAAUUAAAACAGCAUUGAUGAGGCUUUGAAAAAAGAAAUGGGAGCCACUACAGAGUGAAUUUUAAAUAGAAUGUAACCUCUGUGAUUUAUUUGGAUAACAAUGUUCUUGGCAGUGGCUAGUGGGGGAAGGGUACAAGAUCUCUAUUACUCUCUAACUGCCUGUUUUUAAUGGCCUUCGUUUAACAUGAUUAAAUACCAGGUUUGUGUUUGGAGGCACCUAAUGGCCUUCAUUUCUCCCCGUGCUUAAGACUUGCUCUGGCUAUACUUAGGAUAUUGAGAAAAGGCAAGCUGACUCCUUAGUCCCUCUGGAUGGGGACAGUGGCCUUUGGCCUUGUAGGAAUGGCGCUGUGUGUAUAAUAGGAAAGAGGUUUACUCCCUGUGUCUCUGAGGUAGAUUGCAAAUGCUCUUUUUUCCAAGCAUGAGAAAAAGGUGUUCAUGGUGGUUUAGCAAACUGUGAAAUAGUUCUCUCACUGGAGGAGGAAAGUCAGAUCAUUUGUGGGAUUUAAAACUUGAUUGAUAAAGUUCCUUGGAGAAUUUGCUUUCAGUAAUUUGAAAUAUGCUUAAAGCUCAGGAGAAAGUGGUGCAUUUUAUCACAGUGAAGAGAAAAGACGUAGUACAAUCAUGGCAGAGACAGGUGAGGUAACUUGGACCAGGCCAGGGUGGGCAGCACUGGUUGUCUUCAGGUUAACGGGUGGGGCGAGGUGGGGUGUUCUACAUUCUGGUUGGAUGAUGGUGAUUCCAAGUGGGAGCAGGUAACCAUCCCAGAAAGGUGUGUGUGAGCUGAAUUGAUGACUUUCUCUCCAUCUUUCAUCCGGCUUAAGAAGAUACAGAAUUCUGGUGUAUGUAGGUUGGAAGACUGAUAGCUUUAGUGUUUGUCAUUGUUGUUUAUUGCUUUAUUUUUCCCUAAUGUCAAGACAUUUAUAGACUCGUACUUACCCACUCACUUUACAAUCACUAUUUUUCCUGUUCAUUUUCUCCAAAGAAAGUGAACCUAUUGUAGCAAUAGUCUGUGUGCACAUGGAUUUUUAAAAUUCAUUACAUGUUCUUGUUUCCUUCAACCAGAACACUCCUCUCAGAAUAGCUGACACUCUUCCCAAAGGCAAUUAAUAUGUGUAGUGUUUCCCUCCACAGACUCACUUAGAUUCAAAUACCAGCUCUUCCAUUUAGUACCUGUGAGACAUACCACCAACUGCUUAUCUUAUCCAACCCUCAUUUCCCAACGUCUUUGAGUUGUUUUAAGGAUUAAAUGAAAUAUAUUUUUUUUCAGUCAACACUAUUUAUUGAGAACCCUGGAUAUGGCAAGGGAAACAGUGGCCAGGGCCUAGGGACAGGACCAGUAGAACAACACCAAAAACAUGGCUUUCCUGAGGGAACUCACACAUUAUCUAGGGAGACAGGCAGUAAACAAAUAAAUAAAUAGAGACCCAAAAGAUUUGGAUAGUAUUAGGUACUAUAAAGAAUAAUGAGGAGUUCUCAUCGUAGUUCAGCAGGUUAAGAAUCCAACUAAUAUCUGUGAAGAUUUGGGUUCUAUCCUUGGCCUUGGUCAGUGGGUUAAGGAUCAGCUUUGCUGCAAGCUGCAGUGUAGGUUGCAGAUGCGGCUUGGAUCUAGUGUUGCUGUGG
rnacentral:lncRNA from 1 species